CGGACGGGUGAGUAACGCGUGGGAACCUACCUAGUAGCGGAGGAUAACUCGGGGAAACUCGAGCUAAUACUGCAUACGCCCUACGGGGGAAAGCGGGGGAUCUUCGGACCUCGCACUAUUAGAUGAGCCCGCGUGAGAUUAGCUUGUUGGUGAGGUAAAGGCUCACCAAGGCGACGAUCUCUAGCUGGUCUGAGAGGAUGAUCAGCCACACUGGGGCUGAGACACGGCCCAG
rnacentral:rRNA from 1 species